rnacentral:lncRNA from 1 species
ACAGUUUUUGGCUUAAUUUAUUACUUUCAACAACUUAGAUAUUUGGUAUGUGGACCACCAUUUGUACUCUUGAAAGUAUAUUCAGUACAAGUGUAAGGAAAGAGCCUACCAAGGACCCUGGAAAAUGCAAAACCAACUUCUUCAUAGAAAAAUCCACUUUAAAGUCAAGCUUCAAGUAAUUCCCUCAGGUAAAGUUCCAAGGACCACAGCACAAUAAAAGAAAUCACUAAGCAUAUGAGAACACAGGCCCUCAAGAUUGAGCUCAGCAGAAAGCACACUCUAGCAAUUUGAUCAGCCAAGAUUUAAGAGAAUGGAAUUAUUGGAUAGAAUAUAAAAUAACUGCUAUAAAAUGAUUAUGGUUGGGAAGUUAAAAAAUUAAAGAAACAUGAAGGCUACUGUCUAACUUAAAUCUAUCAGUGUUCCAGAAAGAACUAAUUAAGAGAAAAAGAAGCAAUUAUAUUUUAUGUGACAAAGGGAUAAUGUACAGUAUUCAUUAAGGUUGCCAGAAUAAUUAUCACAUGGAAAAGAAUAAACAUGAAUCUUAUUUUUAAAAUAUACUCAAAAAUAUACACAAAUACUCAGAGUCUUCAAAAACUUAGAAAAGGUAUAUUUUGAAAAAACUAUACAUGGAUUUCAAAAUUUUUGUACCACAAUAAAUAUCUUUAAUUUCAUUUUUCCACAAACUCUUUGGAGUACCCUUGUAGAUAUAUAUGUGUUUUUGUGUGUGUACAUGCAUACAUACAUACACAUGUGAAUAUAAAUACAUAUAUAUGUAUAUGUGUGCACAUGUAUACAUAUAAAUACUAAGAAGAAAAUGUUUAAGUCACUGAAACCCAAGGUCCCUUUAUUGACGCCAAGGAGAAAAGCAUCAUCAUUAAGUGUCACUUAUUUUUGUUUUUGUUUUUGCAAUAAUGAUUUCCUAAAAAGAGUGACUACAAGCUUCCCCUGGGUGUACAUGGUAAUGACUUUAAACCCUUAGAAAUCUGUCAUCUGCUGCUCAUGGCAAAGUUUCUAUUAGCUGUCUUGUAAACUAGCUCUGCCUCAGCUCUGUAGAAGAUGAAGGUCCCUGCUGAGCCACGGGCACAUCUGCAUUCGUUUUAUCCUAGGACCCUAAUAGAAAGUGUAAGAUUAUGAGAGUGUUAGCCCUUAAGAAUACCUGUGAGUUGCUAUUGGCAUCAUUGAGCAGUUUAUUCUUCACCUUCACACUCAUAGGGAGCUUGUAUUCCCCCAAUAUAAUACCAUGUUAGUAGCCAAGAGGCCAUAGACUAGGCUCUCAAGCCAGGCUGCCUGAGAUAGAAUCCUAGCUGCAUAACUCACUACCAAUUUCCUUAACCUUUCUGUGACUCACUUGUAAGACAAGGAUAGUAACAGUAGCCACCUCUCUGACUUGCUGUGAGGACGAAAUGGUGAAUACAAAGCAAGGACUUCGAACAGUGGCUCAUGUACAAUAUGCAUUCGAUACAUGUUAACUAAUAGGAAAGAAUGGAGUUAGAUGGUUUUUCACAAGGUUAAACACUCUAGCACUUGACUUUAGACGGGUGGAUGCGAUUGAGACUUGGGAAAACCCUUAUAGGAAAGAUUUAGAAUAUUGUUCCUAAAAGCCCCUUCUGGAGGGGCUCCCAGAAGCUCUGUGUCAAGAAGUCCUCUUGUACUUCCUCUUAUUUUUAAAAGAUACCAAACAAGUCAAGUAUUUUCUAAAACACAGCAGCUGGACAAUGCAGAAGAGCUUUGCAAGGAGAUGUUCAUACACAGACACCACCAUGGUCUACAGCAACAGUGGAGUACGGGAAAGUCCUGCCUGUGAGCCUCAGCUCUACCUUCCUAAGCUCCUUGCAGAAGGUAAGGAGUGAGAUUAUCAUUAGAGAAGGAACUGUGGUGGUCAUCAGGCCAUUUCUUGAUAUUCUA